AUGGUUAAGUUAGAAAGGGCGCACGGUGAAUGCCUUGGCACUAGGAGCCGAUGAAGGACGGGACUAACACCGAUAUGCUUCGGGGAGCUGUAAGUGAGCUUUGAUCCGGAGAUUUCCGAAUGGGGAAACCCACUGUUCGUAAUGGAACAGUAUCUUUAUCUGAAUACAUAGGAUAUUGAAGGCAGACCCGGGGAACUGAAACAUCUAAGUACCCGGAGGAAGAGAAAGCAAAUGCGAUUUCCUGAGUAGCGGCGAGCGAAACGGAAUUAGCCCAAACCAAGAGGCUUGCCUCUUGGGGUUGUAGGACACUCUAUACGGAGUUACAAAGGAACGAAGUAAAUGAAGCGACCUGGAAAGGUCCGUCGAAGAAGGUAACAACCCUGUAGUUGAAACUUCGUUCCCUCUUGAGUGGAUCCUGAGUACGGCGGAACACGUGAAAUUCCGUCGGAAGCUGGGAGGACCAUCUCCCAAGGCUAAAUACUACCUAGUGACCGAUAGUGAACCAGUACCGUGAGGGAAAGGUGAAAAGCACCCCGGAAGGGGAGUGAAAGAGAUCCUGAAACCGUGUGCCUACAAGUAGUCAGAGCCCGUUAACGGGUGAUGGCGUGCCUUUUGUAGAAUGAACCGGCGAGUUACGAUCCCAUGCAAGGUUAAGCUGAUAAGGCGGAGCCGUAGCGAAAGCGAGUCUGAAUAGGGCGUUUAGUAUGUGGUUGUAGACCCGAAACCAGGUGAUCUACCCAUGUCCAGGGUGAAGUUCAGGUAACACUGAAUGGAGGCCCGAACCCACGCACGUUGAAAAGUGCGGGGAUGAGGUGUGGGUAGCGGAGAAAUUCCAAUCGAACCUGGAGAUAGCUGGUUCUCUCCGAAAUAGCUUUAGGGCUAGCCUCAUGUUGUGAGAGUCUUGGAGGUAGAGCACUGAUUGGACUAGGGGCCCCCAACGGGUUACCGAAUUCAGUCAAACUCCGAAUGCCAAAGACUUAUCCAUGGGAGUCAGACUGCGAGUGAUAAGAUCCGUAGUCAAAAGGGAAACAGCCCAGACCACCAGCUAAGGUCCCCAAGUAUACGUUAAGUGGAAAAGGAUGUGGAGUUGCUUAGACAACCAGGAUGUUGGCUUAGAAGCAGCCACCAUUUAAAGAGUGCGUAAUAGCUCACUGGUCGAGUGACUCUGCGCCGAAAAUGUACCGGGGCUAAACGUAUCACCGAAGCUGUGGAUUGACAUCUUUGAUGUCAGUGGUAGGAGAGCGUUCUAAGUGCUGUGAAGUCAGACCGUAAGGACUGGUGGAGCGCUUAGAAGUGAGAAUGCCGGUAUGAGUAGCGAAAGACAAGUGAGAAUCUUGUCCACCGAAUGCCUAAGGUUUCCUGAGGAAGGCUCGUCCGCUCAGGGUUAGUCGGGACCUAAGCCGAGGCUGAAAAGCGUAGGCGAUGGCCAACAGGUUGAUAUUCCUGUACCACCUCCCCGCCGUUUGAGUAAUGGGGGGACGCAGUAGGAUAGGGUAAGCGCGCUGCUGGAUAUGCGCGUUCAAGCAGUUAGGCUGAUGAGUAGGCAAAUCCGCUCAUCAUAAAGGCUGAGCUGUGAUGACGAGGGAAUUAUAGUACCGAAGUUCCUGAUUCCACACUGCCAAGAAAAGCCUCUAGCGAGGCGGGAGGUGCCCGUACCGCAAACCGACACAGGUAGGCGAGGAGAGAAUCCUAAGGUGAUCGAGAGAACUCUCGUUAAGGAACUCGGCAAAAUGACCCCGUAACUUCGGGAGAAGGGGUGCUCUGGUAGGGUGUAUAGCCCGAGAGAGCCGCAGUGAAUAGGCCCAGGCGACUGUUUAGCAAAAACACAGGUCUCUGCGAAGCCGCAAGGCGAAGUAUAGGGGCUGACGCCUGCCCGGUGCUGGAAGGUUAAGAGGAGGGUUAUCCUUUGGGAGAAGCUCUGAAUCGAAGCCCCAGUAAACGGCGGCCGUAACUAUAACGGUCCUAAGGUAGCGAAAUUCCUUGUCGGGUAAGUUCCGACCCGCACGAAAGGCGUAACGAUCUGGGCACUGUCUCAACGAGAGACUCGGUGAAAUUAUAGUACCUGUGAAGAUGCAGGUUACCCGCGACAGGACGGAAAGACCCCGUGGAGCUUUACUGUAGCCUGAUAUUGAAUUUUGGUACAGCUUGUACAGGAUAGGUAGGAGCCUGAGAAGCCGGAGCGCUAGCUUCGGUGGAGGCGUCGGUGGGAUACUACCCUGGCUGUAUUGAAAUUCUAACCCGCGGCCCUGAUCGGGCCGGGAGACAGUGUCAGGUGGGCAGUUUGACUGGGGCGGUCGCCUCCUAAAAUGUAACGGAGGCGCCCAAAGGUUCCCUCAGAAUGGUUGGAAAUCAUUCGUAGAGUGUAAAGGCACAAGGGAGCUUGACUGCGAGACCUACAAGUCGAGCAGGGACGAAAGUCGGGCUUAGUGAUCCGGUGGUUCCGCAUGGAAGGGCCAUCGCUCAACGGAUAAAAGCUACCCCGGGGAUAACAGGCUUAUCUCCCCAAGAGUCCACAUCGACGGGGAGGUUUGGCACCUCGAUGUCGGCUCAUCGCAUCCUGGGGCUGUAGUCGGUCCCAAGGGUUGGGCUGUUCGCCCAUUAAAGCGGUACGCGAGCUGGGUUCAGAACGUCGUGAGACAGUUCGGUCCCUAUCCGUCGUGGGCGUAGGAAAUUUGAGAGGAGCUGUCCUUAGUACGAGAGGACCGGGAUGGACACACCGCUGGUGUACCAGUUGUCUUGCCAAAGGCAUCGCUGGGUAGCUAUGUGUGGACGGGAUAAGUGCUGAAAGCAUCUAAGCAUGAAGCCCCCCUCAAGAUGAGAUUUCCCAUAGCGCAAGCUAGUAAGAUCCCUGAAAGAUGAUCAGGUUGAUAGGUCAGAGGUGUAAGCGUGGCGACAUGUGUAGCUGACUGAUACUAAUCGAUCGAGGACUUAACCAAAA
rnacentral:rRNA from 2 species